rnacentral:rRNA from 1 species
GUCCACGCCCUAAACGAUGAAUGCUAGUCGUCGGGGUACUCGUUACUUCGGUGAUGCACUUAACAAUUAAGCAUUCCGCCUGGGGAGUACGGUCGCAAGAUUAAAACUCAAAGGAAUAGACGGGGACCCCGCACAAGUGGUGGAGCAUGUGGUUUAAUUCGAAGAUACACGAAGAACCUUACCUGGCCUUGACAUGGUAGGAACCCCUGUAGAGAUACGGGGGUGCUAGCUUGCUAGAACCUACACACAGGUGCUGCACGGCUGUCGU